rnacentral:rRNA from 1 species
CCUACUGGGGGCAGCAGUGGGGAAUAUUGCACAAUGGGGGAAACCCUGAUGCAGCGACGCCGCGUGAGUGAAGAAGUAUCUCGGUAUGUAACGCUCUAUCAGCAGGGAAGAAAAUGCCGGUACCUGACUAAGAAGCCCCGGCUAACUACGUGCCAGCAGCCGCGGUAAUACGUAGGGGUCAAGCGUUAUCCGGAUUUACUGGGUGUAAAGGGAGCGUAGACGGUUAUGCAAGUCUGAAGUGAAAGCCCAAGGCUCAACCAUGGGAGUGCUUUGGAAACUGGAAAACUGGAGUGCAGGAGAGGUAGGCGGAAUUCGUAGUGUAGCGGUGAAAUGCGUAGAUAUUAGGAGGAACACCAGUGGCGAAGGCAGCUUACUGGACUGUAACUGACGUUGAGGCUCGAAGGCGUGGGGAGCAAACAGGAUUAGAUACCCGGGUAGUC